GGUGAUUCUUCGACCUUUCUUUAGCGCGUGGCGAAGAGAGGCAAGACCCUUGUUGGUUUCUGUUUGAUGCUGCUAAAAAUGCUGUUUAAUUCAGAGAUGAACACUUUGGAACAUCAAGCCAGCCUUCUGCCUUGGCUGGAUUCUGCUGCUGAUGGAGCAACCCGUCCAUCUCCUGACACUUGAGGAAUAGUUGGCACUGCCACUCCUCUGACCGGUUUCAAAUUGUGAGCAAUGCUCGAUGCUGUGGAUAGAGUCUGGCUCAGAAGCAUAAGCACACUUGAAAGCCCAUCCUCCAGGAUGGGAGUGGCAGCUUAUUCCUGAAAUGCGUGUGAGAAAUAUUCUGAAAAGCCCAAGGUUAUUUGAAAGGAGGAAAAACCAUGACAGCAUCAGCUGUUCUCAGCAUUGGUGUAGAAGAGAACCUACUUGUACAAGCCUGGAGAAAUAAAAGUGUAGACCAAGCAGCAUGGGAUAGAAGGCUGGCAUUAAUGAAAGGGAAUCCAUGAUGAUAAGAAUAUGAGACUAAUGGUUUAAUUUGCCAUCUUUCUCCCCCCCUAAAACUGUUGUACAACGUAGACUCCAGCAGCGAUUGUGGUGGCGGCGACAGAACAAAUCUGCGUCUGGGAUGAAACAGUACAGAGCCACAGUGUGGGUUGUUUGGUUUUUCUUAGUGUGCCAUGCGAACGUAACCACUGUAGUUUGUCAGUAAUGAUGUAUGGCUUAACCAAGAACCCCUAAUUUGAAUUCAGACAAUUAAGCAAAGCCGUGGAAGAUUAUUUCAAUAUAUAAUUAUUGCGGUGAGAUGGCUAUACGCAGAGAGAUGGAAAGACACUACCCACUAUGGGGGAAUGGUUGGUGAAAUUGAUAGAUUUUGCUGAAAUGGAUAAAUUACUUCUUUGAUCAGAGAAAAGACCAUAUUUACGAUGAUUGCUGAGCUAAGUUGAGGAAUCCAGCUUGAGGGUGGGGGGAGUUCAUGCUGAGCAAAAGGUGUUGGGAGGAACUGUUAAACGAAGAGCAGUAAGAAUGUAAUCUUGAAUUCCUCUGCCUUUGUCAGUCCUUUUUAUAUAAUA